rnacentral:rRNA from 1 species
UACGUAGGGUGCAAGCGUUAAUCGGAAUUACUGGGCGUAAAGGGCGCGUAGGCGGCGUGACAAGUCACUUGUGAAAUCUCCGGGCUUAACUCGGAACGGUCAAGUGAUACUGUCGUGCUAGAGUACAGAAGGGGCAACUGGAAUUCUCGGUGUAGCGGUGAAAUGCGUAGAUAUCGAGAGGAACACCUGCGGCGAAGGCGGGUUGCUGGGCUGAUACUGACGCUGAGGCGCGAAAGCUAGGGGAGCGAACGGG